rnacentral:tRNA from 2 species
GCCACCGUAGCUCAGAUGGCAGAGCAGCUGAUUCGUAAUCAGCCGGUCACCCGUUCGAUUCGGGUCGGUGGCU